rfam:Zancudomyces culisetae strain COL-18-3 mitochondrion, complete sequence, whole genome shotgun sequence.
AGGGAUUUAGCUUAAUAGGUAGAGCAUUUAUCUUACAAAUAAAGAGAAGUAGUUCGAAUCUACUAAUUCCUA